rnacentral:misc_RNA from 1 species
GCUUGGUUCAAUUCACUUCUCGUCGAAGCCACCAUCUUUAGAUGCUCACCUCCUACCAGUUGAACUUCCAGAAAUUUCCUCCCUGAUUGUUAGCCGAGGCAUAGAGAAAUUAGCAUGGGACGCUUCAGGGGAACGUCUGGCACUGUCGUUCAGAGAUGGAAACGAAAUGUACCGUGGCCUGAUUGCGAUAUAUGACGUGCGGAGAUCUCCACUCGUCUCACUAUCACUAGUUGGGUUCAUCCGGGGACCUGGAGAAGGAGCAAAGCCGCUCGCCUUUGCUUUUCAUAGCAAGUUUAAGCAGGGGCCAUUGCUUUCCGUGUGUUGGAGCAGUGGCUGGUGCUGUACGUAUCCGCUGAUACUUCGUCCUCGUUGAAUCCAGUCUAGGAGAAAUGCAAAGCUCGAGUUGCUGCAUUGUGACGUUGUGGCUCGAGAAAUGGCGCCCUUUUGGACAGUCAUCUCCAGAUGUGUUUGAUUGGAUAUGUAUGUAUGCUUAUGCUGAUUUUACCGGGGUUUUUUUUCCCUCUGGCCAUACAUGGAUCGCCCUUUUGGACAGUCAUCUCCAGAUCGCCCACGCUAGUUUUUUUUAUUAUUUUAGAACUCCAGCAGGCAGAAGCAUGCCAUAUUGCCCCACGGGUUGAACCGAGGAGGCCUUCUCUCUACCACCAUCACCAGAUGCAAAAUCUGGGAUGGUCACUGCUGUCAAUUUUUUUUUUGAUAGCAAUAUGAAAACUUCAUUAACCUUCGCACAACAUUAAAUCGCUGGCGACCAAAUCUGAUACAAUGUCUGGAAAAUUAUACAACCAAAUCAACUCUUGACUAUCAGAACCAAUAGUAGCAAGAUGAUGUGCUACCUUGUUACAUAUUCUAGGAGCAAACAACACCUUAACAUCAUUGAAACAUGAUCUAUCUCAUAAACAUGUACAGGAGGGGCAACGGUGGUACACUUCACCCUCUCAUGGCGCCCCUGGGGGCGAUUGGCGCCGCCGCCGCCAGCCCUGGUCGCCCGCAUCCGGUUCGGGGGGUGCUCCGUCCUUUCUCCGCGGGCGGGGCUAGCGCUCCUCUCCGUGGUGGCCUCGGGUCGUCCCUCCACGCGGCGGACUCGGUGUCCGGUCCUCUGCCCAAACCUCUUCUAGAGCCGGUAAGUGCUGAGCGCUCGUUCUCUGGCGGGCAAACUCUGCGCAGUGAUGUGCCCCCCACGAGCGUUCAAGACCUUCUCCUCCUCGGUUCUCCUCAACCAGAUCCACAGCGGGCCGUUGCGGGCGGCAUUGAUCACAGGAGGAUUUCACUUUCAAGUUCCAGAUCUGAAAAGUGCUCUACGCCGGUGCUGCCUGAAGAUCCGCAUAGUCUGCUUUCGGCGCUGCGAAUCCAGGCGGCUGAAUCAUCCGACUGUGAUGCAGUCUGCUCGCCGUGUUUCCAGUUUACCUGCGUGGAGGAUGAGGCAUUGAAGUCGGGCAGCGUUCGGUCCCGUCGUCGUGCUACUGAUGACUCUGCUGCGCCGCGCGUGAGUGGAAUGCCUCUCCAUUCCGCUACCGGGGUCAACGAUGGGGGAUGGGAGGUUGUUCGGCCGCGGUUUUGGUGGCGCAAGGCAUUGAAGAAUCCUGUGAGAUCUCCACGAAAUCUUCAACUGGAUGUGAAGGGCACCAAUCUUUUCAAAUUGAAGCUCAAGGGUAAAUGCUACAACUGCCUCUCACCGGCUCAUCUCGCUUUCUGCUGCUCGGCUCCCACGCGCUGUUGGCAGUGCUUACAAUCCGGGCACAAGGCGCGAUAUUGCAACCAAAAAGUCAGCCAGAGAACAUUCAAUGCUGCUCAAUGCUUCCCUGAACCAGCCGUGCUCGCAUCUAAGAGUUCCACCUACCAGGAGGUGCUGCUAAAGCCAGACAAACUGCAUAAGUAUCAGGAUCUGCCUCAUGUGAACUCACUUGGUCAUCCGCCCCCAUCGACCAAAAAGUCCUACCUCCAGGCUGUUCUGGAAGACCACGGUAUGGAGGCACGCUACCCUGGUGACCCUCGUGUGAGGCCAGCGCGCGCCUUCUGUGCGGUCUCGGCGACCGGCUCUAUUCGUCGCCGGAGAGAUGAGUUGAUUGACACGGCCGUCGUCUGCUCCUUCGACGGCAACAGCCACGAGGUUGACAUUCUUUCCGCAGGUGAUAUGCUGAGGGAGAAGUUCAGCUUACAACACGGUCAGUAUCAACUGGUCAAGCAUUUCCCUGAGCAAUUCUUUAUCAUCUUCUCGGACCCUAGGUCGAAGCAGUGGGCGCUGGAUAGGAGAUCUGUCUCAUAUCGUGGUCGAAUUUUCCAUUUUGGGGAUUGGUCUGAGGACAGCUACGCUAGAAAAACAAACCUUGAAUUUAGAGUUAAAGUCCGGGUCGAAGGGAUCUCGGUGCACUGUUGGGGGGAAGAUGUGGCUUCAAAGGCCUUGGGCAAGAGUUGUGCAAUCCACUAUGUGCAAGAGCGCACAAGGCGUAGGGAGCGUACCAGGUCUUUUGACCUAUGGGCUUGGUGCUCUGACCCGUGUGACAUUCCUAAAGAGGUCUUGCUUACGGUUUUAGAACCAGACAGGGAACUUCCACCUAUCAGCACGCCCUUAGCUCUUGUUGGUGCUCAGCAAGAUGCCCCUGCUGAUCUGAAAGCUGGACAUGUUUACACUCUUCGCAACCACAUUGAGGUGGUGGAGGAUCUCUCUUUCCUCCGUGGGAGGGGUUCCAGGGGGGGUCCGCCUAAUCGCAAGCAGCGCAUGGAGUUUAUUUGGAGCUAUGGCGCCCCAGAUUCAGUGGGUGAAAAAAGAGAACGGGUGGAAGCUGUUAGAGGAAGAGAGAUUGCGCGACGGGACUGGGGUCAUGAUGAUGAUGAUGAUGGGGAUUUUCAGCGUAGCAGGCGCUGCGGCAACCGCCGUCAUCGCAGCUUGUCUGGUUGGGCGCGCUCGUCGCGAUGUCGAGGGGGCAUGGACGACUGUUACAGUUCCAAUGACAAGCAGCGGCACUUAACUCCCUUUCGUCGCCAUGGCUGGGAGUCGAAGCUGUCUUCUCGCUGGGUACCCAAGGUGAAGGUCCGAUCUGUUUCUUUUGCAGACCCCAUCGUUACCGCUGUUUGGCCGCAGGAGGAUAAAUGUGGGCAAGCUGAGGAUAUUGGUGACAGGUCUGGUUCGAUGGGCGCUGUUAUUCUGGAACCUGUGCGCAGCCCUGCUACAACCACAUGCAAGGUGGAUUUGGUUGAGCAGCUGGCGAGGCAUUUCUCUAGGCCUUUGACCAAGGAACAAAUGGAGGCAAUUAUGGAGCUGGCAACUCUGGGGAAGGAAAAGGAAGGGAUCAAGAAGAAGGGCAGCAAGGUGACGCCCCUCAAGGCUCCUAUUAUCGAGGCUUCUGAGAUGCUAUAAGUUGUAAUUUGAGUUGUGGGGGUAGUUCUAGUGCAUCAUGUUGUGUCGCUGGUGUACUUGCCUGUGGGUCGCCCAGGUUCUUUUGCUGGCUGUUUCGUGUGCCAGGUUGUUGCCUGGGCAGCGGUGUUUGUUUCUUUGGUUGGUAUUUUCGGUGUCUCUAUCUGUCUUAGUAUCUGUUGUAAGACGCUGGUCUUUUGCUUCUGGAAGCAAGUUACGGAUGGUGGAAUC